GACGAACGCUGGCGGCAUGCUUCAUACAUGCAAGUCGAACGAUAAGGUCUCUUCGGAGAUACAUAAGUGGCGGACGGGUGAGUAAUAUGUAGGAAAUCUGCCCUAGAGAGGGGGACAACAGAGGGAAACUUCUGCUAAUACCCCAUAUGAGCGUACCUGAAAUGGUAUUCUUGAAAACUCCGGUGCUCUAGGAUGAGCCUGCAUCUGAUUAGCUUGUUGGCGGUGUAAUGGACCACCAAGGCGACGAUCAGUAGCUGGUUUGAGAGGAUGAUCAGCCACAAUGGGACUGAGACACGGCCCAUACUCC
rnacentral:rRNA from 1 species